AUGGUUCUGCGGGAGAAUCUGUCAGCCUGCCGCGUGAGUGAUGAAGGCCUUCGGGUUGUAAAGCUCUUUGAUUGGAGACAAUAAUGAUGGUAUCCAAAGAACAAGCCCCGGCUAACUCUGUGCCAGCAGCCGCGGUAAUACAGAGGGGGCUAGCGUUGUUCGGAAUUACUGGGCGUAAAGCGUGCGUAGGCGGCCUAAUAAGUCAGAAGUGAAAGCCCAAGGCCUAACCUUGGAAUUGCUUUUGAUACUGCUAGGCUUGAAGGUGGUAGAGGAUAGUGGAAUUCUUAGUGUAGGAGUGAAAUCCGUAGAUAUUAAGAGGAACACCAGUGGCGAAGGCGACUAUCUGGACCAUUCUUGACGCUGAGGUACGAAA
rnacentral:rRNA from 1 species